rnacentral:rRNA from 1 species
UGGGGAAUAUUGGACAAUGGGCGAAAGCCUGAUCCAGCCAUGCCGCGUGUGUGAAGAAGGCCUUUUGGUUGUAAAGCACUUUAAGUGGGGAGGAAAAGCUUAUGGUUAAUACCCAUAAGCCCUGACGUUACCCACAGAAUAAGCACCGGCUAACUCUGUGCCAGCAGCCGCGGUAAUACAGAGGGUGCAAGCGUUAAUCGGAAUUACUGGGCGUAAAGCGCGCGUAGGUGGUUAUUUAAGUCAGAUGUGAAAGCCCCGGGCUUAACCUGGGAACUGCAUCUGAUACUGGAUAACUAGAGUAGGUGAGAGGGGAGUAGAAUUCCAGGUGUGGCGGUGAAAUGCGUAGAGAUCUGGAGGAAUACCGAUGGCGAAGGCAGCUCCCUGGCAUCAUACUGACACUGAGGUGCGAAAGCGUGGGUAGCAAACAGGAUUAGAUACCCUGGUAGUCCACGCCGUAAACGAUGUCUACCAGUCGUUGGGUCUUUUAAAGACUUAGUGACGCAGUUAACGCAAUAAGUAGACCGCCUGGGGAGUACGGCCGCAAGGUUA